UACGUAGGGUGCAAGCGUUAAUCGGAAUUACUGGGCGUAAAGCGUGCGCAGGCGGUUAUGUAAGACAGAUGUGAAAUGCCCGGGCUUAACCUGGGAACUGCAUUUGUGACUGCAUGGCUAGAGUUUGGCAGAGGGGGGGUAGAAUUCCACGUGUAGCAGUGAGAUGCGUAGAUAUGUGGAGGAACACCGAUGGCGAAGGCAGCCCCCCUGGGUCAAGACUGACGCUCAUGGACGAAAGCGUGGGGGAGCAAACAGG
rnacentral:rRNA from 1 species